CUGACGACUGAUUAAGCUAAAAGAAAAGAGACUAGUUUAUAUGAAUAUAUAACAGUGAGCUUAUGUAAGCAGAUGUUAAAAAGACUAAAGUUAUCCAACGAUAUCAGAUGUUAUAACUAGAACUAUUCACACAUGCAAGAAUGAAAAUUCCAGAACCGAUAAGACAUAUAAAGUACUAGAAACCCCAAGUGUCCUAUGACCCUAUAAAACUUACCUUAUACCAGGUUGGGAAGAACAAAGGGGGGGGGGAAAUACUAGCCUCCUG